rnacentral:rRNA from 1 species
CCUACGGGUGGCAGCAGUGGGGGAUAUUGCACAAUGGGGGAAACCCUGAUGCAGCAACGCCGCGUGAGGGAAGAAGGUCUUCGGAUUGUAAACCACUGUUCUUGGUGAAGAUAAUGACGGUAACCAAGGAGAAAGCUCCGGCUAACUACGUUCCAGCAGCCGCGGUAAUACGUGGGGAGCAAGCGUUGUCCGGAUUUACUGGGUGUAAAGGGGGCGUAGGGGGUCUUGCAAGUCAGACGGGAAAACCACAGGCUCAACCUGUGGACAGCGUUUGAAACUGGGGGGCUUGAGUGAAGUAGAGGUAGGCGGAAUGCCUGGUGUAGCGGUGAAAUGCAUAGAGAUCGGGAGGAACACCAGUGGCGAAGGCGGCCUACUGGGCUUUAACUGACGCUGAGGCACGAAAGCAUGGGUAGCAAACAGGAUUAGAUACCCCUGUAGUC